rnacentral:rRNA from 1 species
AUUGAACUCUGGCGGCAGGCUUAACACAUGCAAGUCGAGCGAGUGGCGGCCGGGUGAGUAAUGUCUGUGAAACUGCCUGAUGGAGGGGGAUAACUACUGGACACGGUAGCUAAUACCGCAUACCAUCGGAUGUGCCCAGAUGGGAUUCGUUAGUAGGUGGGGUAAAGGCUCACCUAGGCGACGAUCCCUAGCUGGUCUGAGAGGAUGACCAUUCACACUGGAACUGAGACACGGUCCAGACGCAUACGGGAGGCAGCAGUGGGGAAUAUGGCACAAUGGGCGCAAGCCUGAUGCAGCCAUGCCGCGUGUAUGAAGAAGGCCUUCGGGUUGUAAAGUACUUUAAGCGGGGAGGCGUUACCCGCAGAAGAAGCACCGGCUAACUCCGUGCCAGCCGCCGCGGUAAUAC